CGGAGCUAACGCGUUAAGUUCACCGCCUGGGGAGUACGGCCGCAAGACUGAACCUCAAUGGAUUUGACGGGGGCCCCCGCAACCGGGGAACUAGGUGGUUUAUUUCAAGCCACCCCGAAAACCCUUACCUCGCCUUGCCUCGUCAAAAACUUUCCAAAAAUGGAUGGUGGCCUUCGGAACCCCGAAACCAGGGCCUGCUUGGUUGCCUCCACCUCUGGUCUGGAAAGGUGGGGUUAAGUCCCCCCACCAACGCACCCCUUGCCCUUGUUUGCCACCGCUCAAAGCCGGGGAAUCUCAAGAGACAGCCCCUGAGACACUCCAGAAAAGGGGGGAUCACCUCGUCUCCUCGGGCCCCUUAAGGACGGGGCUACACGCGCUCUACUGGGGUAUGCACAGAGGACUGCACCCCCGCAAGCGAACGCACCUCCCAAAAUCCCUCUCACACCCGAGAGUAGACUCUGCAACUCUACUCUCUGAAAUCUCAAACUCUCUUAAUCACAUAUCAACGUUGCUGCGAAGACUAUCUCCGCGGGUGUUGUCCACGCCCGCCGUCCCACCGGGGGUAGUUUGUUGCACCAGAAGCAUGUAGCUUCUCCUUCCAGGAGGCCGCUCGCCUCGGGAUGCCCGACUACUGGGAAGACCUCAAGAAGGGGCCCCCCAAAAAAAAAA
rnacentral:rRNA from 1 species